UACGAAGGGUGCAAGCGUUACUCGGAAUUACUGGGCGUAAAGGGUGCGUAGGUGGUUUGUUAAGUCUGCUGUGAAAUCCCCGGGCUCAACCUGGGAAUGGCAGUGGAUACUGGCAAGCUAGAGUGCGGUAGAGGGUAGUGGAAUUCCCGGUGUAGCAGUGAAAUGCGUAGAGAUCGGGAGGAACACCAGUGGCGAAGGCGGCUGCCUGGACCAGCACUGACACUGAAGCACGAAAGCGUGGGGAGCAAACAGG
rnacentral:rRNA from 1 species